GCAACUUCUAACAGCCCCCCCCCAUCCCCGGCAUUUGCUCCCUCUUUGGGUCUAAAAUUCUCUGAAUUUGCUGGUCAUCAGAAUAUACGGGAAACCUUCCUUGUGAGUAAACCUAACCAAUAAGGAAUUUGCUAGAGGGGGCAAUAAUUUUUUAUUUAUUCCAAGAUGAGGCAACAGCUUGGAAAGCAUUCAGUAGAACGUUCGGAUGUCACUCCCCAGAACACUGGUGUGCUGGCCUGCAGAUGUGAGCAAGCUUUAAAAAGGAGAGUGACUCAUGAAACAUCGCUUCGAGGGAGAAGACCCACAUACGACCAGUACGAGCACUUUAAACUAAGCAUCUAAGACAGCAGAAGAAAAAAUCAGAAGGAAACAAUGGAGAAGUAUAAAGAGAGACCACACACCUAACUCCUUCGACAGCUCUGGUACCAUCCCAGAGGUCACUGGAUGUGAUUUUACUUCUGCAAUAUCCCACGUUCCUGCAUUCUAAAGAAGGAAACCAACAGUAACCCAAAGUGUGAUGUCAUGUUGAGAGCUGGCAACUGCAGUUUCAGCCUGACACUCCCAAUCCUUUUACAGCCUUUCCAUGUUCUCAUCAUCCCAAGCCUGCAGCUACUUUUAUUGCUGGAGAAGAAUCAAGCAAAGGAGAAAUGAUCUCCUAGGGACAGAAUCCAGCCAAGUUGCUAUUUGCACCUUCUCAGCCCUUCCAAUUGCAUAUCAUACCAGCACAGCAUUUCUCUGGACUUAAUUCCUCACUCAUCUGGACUGAUUUGCCUUUCGUGAGCAACAGAAUGUUGUCAUACAUCAGGAUGCUGUCAUACAUCAGGUUGGAGUUUGGCCUUCUGAAGGCAGGAGAGUGAAAAAUGGUACUAAUGUCCUUCCCACACCAACCCUGUAUUCUGCAAAGGAAAGGACUCCAGCAAAGAAAGCAACUAACGUAACGGCAACCUAAGACCACGUUCUGAAUCAUCAGAGUCCUGGACUACUGCUACUGAAGCAAACCUUCGACAGGAUGAAAACCGAGUAGGAAGGCUCCGUGUCCCUCAGCAUCCUGUGGAAGAUGCAGCUUUCAGCCCACAUCAGCCACUCUGAUCAGGGUGUGUAUGAUCACCAUACUCCUUGCUGGCCACCAUUUGCUCUGGGAAAAUAUGUAUAGAAGCAUAGAGUGGAUCCUGGGAUAAGCAAACAGGAGCCAGCCAGCAGCAAUUACCAAACCCCAGCACCUUCCAGGAUAGUUACUAAAUCAUUCUCAUCCAAGACAGCUAUGUGAAAAUAAUUGUGCCCUGGUGUUCCAUUGCAAUGAAGAGUACCACCUAAUCUGAGAAGGUAGGAGAAAAGAUCUGCCUGCACAUCUCUAGAGCUGAAGGCUUCAGUUCUGGUGCUGUUAAGCCACUCCUAUAAGAUGUAAAAAGUCUCUCCAGUUCACGACAUUUCUGCAAAGUGGGAAUCAUAGAAUCAUAGAAUGGCCUGGGUUGAAAUGGACUUCAAUAAUCAUUGAGUUUCAACCCCCCUGCUAUGUGUAGGGUCACCAACCCCCAGACCAGGCUGCCCAGAGCCACAUCCAGCCUGGAAGCUUUCUCUUGGGAUGUAUCAGGCGAUACGUAUUUUUAUAUGUCACCUAAAGAAGAUGACUGCACUACAUCUUUGCAAAAGCUCUUCUUUUGGACUGACCUAUUUGAAGAAUAACUCAAAAAAACCUCUGAAGAGACACAAUCCCCCAAGUCCAAUGGCCAUCCAGUUCUAUUGGAUGUCUUCUGGCAAACUGCGUUAACAAUUUCCUCAGACUCCUUACUGGGGAAAAACCUGUGUUGAAAAGGUUUAAAGCCUGAAGCAUCAUUUCUAGAGGUUUUUUGUGUGUGUCAAUACGGAGUAUGUCACUUGGUAUGCAUGAUGACUAAUGAGAUCACAUUCAAAAUGUGCUUGUAUGACUGUGUUAAGACCAAUGCUCACAUUUGAACAAAUGUUGCUCAACAUACUUACUUCACAUGAGCUAUGAAAGAAGUCCAGACUCGCCUUGAAGUGCACCGCUUGCUCCGAGGCUUGCAGUCAUUCCAUUGCAAACACUAUAUGCAAAGUUAAUGGGUAGAGCAAUGAAAUAAAUCUCCCUGCCACCAGCACUGAUACUGGGAGAGACUGACACAGCCCUGUACCUUUGUAUGCUGGUGACUGGGCCUUGGGAAGGUAUGGGGGUGACUGGGAGAGCUGGGGGGCACAGGCUGGGAAGGAGCCCUGCAUAGAGCAGAGCUGCAGCCUCCAACAAAGGCACCCUGGGCUGGUGUUGGCCCCAUUGACUCUGGGACGUCAGGAAAUCAGCCCUGUAUUGGAGGGACCCACAGCUCUGUAUGCAGAGCAGAGCUGCCCUGCAGAGGCAGUCUCACAGCCCACCCACAGGGCAGCCGCUGGGAAUCACUGGCAGACACGCAUUCCCAAACUGAAAAAAUAAUUAACCACCUAGUUUCUUUUAAUUAAGACCUUGACUUAUCCACCACUCCAGGAUAUGCGGAUGUUUGGCUGCUGGGAUGCAUCAACACACCUGAGCACUGGAGGCAAUUCCUCUUUGGCUUCAUACCUCAGCACACAGCAGAGCAGGGCUCCCACCCUGCUAUACCUGUGCUCCUCAGUUUAUGCCAUUGGCCACGUCUCUCACUAUUUUGUUACUCAUAAUCUCACAGAUGUUGUCUUGGUAGGAAUUUUCAGAUGCAAAUGUCGGUAUCUUAAAAGUGUUCUGCACUUCUGGCAUUCUCGCAUCAGCCGAGUGCCAAAGUAGCACACAGUGUUUUACACUUACGUAAGGAGAUAAAGCUUUUGCCUCGAGGAUAUGGUGUUCCUAAGACAGAGAUAACAUGCUGGGAAAUGACAAGGAGCUGUGGAGAAGAGGGGUGGGGAGAAGAAAACAAAAGAGAGAAAUAGAGAAGAGAAAAGGCAAGGUACUGUCGCGGGAGGACAAACUGGAUUUUUCAUUUCUGUGUGAGAUGUUUUCCCCAGGUUAUCUGCCUUAACUUAUUUUUCUUGAUCAUCCUCCACCUCCUUAGCAGCAUAUUUUGCCUCCUCUGCACUCACACCACAACUGGUGGGUCUCACAUGAGUGAGGUGCGACCUCUGAAGUCUGGCCCUUAAAGUGUAGGACUCAGCUCAGUGCAGCAGAAGAUGAGGUUAGUGGUAGAAACUGCCUCCUCCUCUUCUGAUUUGGUUUCUGUUAUUCAGACCUGCAAGGUACAGCAUCUCUGAGCAGGAAAUAGCUAUUUGAGUCAUUGUCUUCUGCUUGAACUAACAGCCCAGCAUCUGUCCUGUGGGUGUCCAUCCCUUCUUCCCCCCACUGCUCCCAGUGGCUCUGCAAAAUGUUGGUUCAUUCUAAAGUCAAAUUAUGUAGUAUCAAUGAUUAUAAAACUAUGAUUGUAAAACAAUGAUUAUAAAACUAUUCGUAAAUUAUUACUGAAAUUCCUCUCCAUCCCUUAACACAGACAGGUCCAUCCAUCUGGGACUGUUUAUUCUGGAGGAGGCUCCCGUAGCUCUCUACAACUCCCUGAAAGGAGGCUAUAGACAAGUGACGGUAGGCCUCUUCUCCCACGUAACAGUUACAGGAUGAGAGGUGAUGGCUUUAAGUGGCACCAGAGGAAGUUCAGGUUGGAUAUUAGGAAACACUUCUUCUCAGAAAAACUGGUGAGGCACUGGCAUGGGCUGCCCAGGGAGGUGGUGGGGUCACCAUCCCUGAAGGUCUUCAAGAACUGUGACACUGAGGGAUGUGGUUAGUGGGCAUGGUGGGGAUGGGUUGGGUUGGACUAGAUGUAAUCUUUCCAACCUUGAAAACCUUGAAAACUAGUGUUAUGAUGGGAAGCCUGGCACAUCUGAAGUCAUGAAGAACGUGUGCCCCAGGCGCACACCCACUGCACACAGCAAUCACUCAGUGGUGUCCCAUUAACACUGUCUGGGCUGCAACCAGGGCACGGGGAUGGUUAAGUGCAGUAAUGGCAAAUAAGUGUUUGUAUUUUGAUAUAUUGGCUGAACAAAGUCCUGUGAAUAGCAAAAAAUACACAGACUCUUGUAACCAGUUGUCACCAUUGCAAACCUGUGCAAGAAAGUGGUGGGGAAGUUUCAUCAGUGAUCCUUCCAUUGAAUUAUCAGUGCUUCAAGGAAGAAAGACUAAAUAUUUUCAUACUCUGGGCCUAAUUCGUUUUGGUCUUGGACAGGCUUAGUUUUUAGAAGCAUAAUAAGAAUGCAUAACGUUGGGAAUUAGAAACAAAACACGGGCAGAUUACCAAGAAGAUGAUGUGCUAGGAAGCUGUAUGGGGAGCAUAAGUUUUCAAGAGGGAAGGAGAAAUACUGAAUACACAGUAAAGAGCCAUGAGGGUAUGUAUUGUGCUACUUGGAGCACUACUGUUGGGACUGGAAGGUCCCAUUUAAACAUGGAUCCCAGAGAUAAUCCAUCCUUUGUUUGCGUCUCACCCUGCUGAUCUCAAGAAUGUUGUUCAGUACUGACUAAUCUUGUGGACUGAAGCUUCCAAAAUGUCCAUGUUUCUGUUCUGUCCUGGUACUGAUUUCUUAGAAGAAUGUCACGGAAUCAUAGGAGUUGGAAGGGACCUCUGGAGAUCAUUGAGUCCAACCUCCUUGCUAAGGUAGUUUCCCUAUAGUAGGUCCAGGCAGGUCUUGAAUAUCUCCAGAGAAGGAGACUCUACAACCUGUCUGGGUGACCUGUUCCAGUGCUCUGUCACCCUCAAAGAAGUUUUUUCUCAUGUUCAGAUGGAAUUUCCUGUGUUGUAUUUUUUGCCUGUUUCCCCUUGUCUUGUCAAUGGGCACCACCAAAAAGAGCCUGGCCGCAUCCUGUUGACACCCAUCCUUUAGAUAUUUACAAUUUUUGAUAAAGCUCCCCUAAGUUUUCUCUUCUCCAGGCUGAACAGUCCCAGAUCUCUUGGCCUUUCCUCACGAGGGAGAUGCUCCAGGCCCUAAAUCAUCUUUGUGGCCCUCUGCUGGACUCUCUCUAGAAGUUCCCUGUCUUUUUGGAACAGAGGAGCUCGGUACUGGACACAGCACUCCAGAUAGGGUCUCACCAGAGCAGAGUAGAGGGGGAGGAUCACCUCCCUUGACCUGCUGGGCACACAUUUUUUAAUGCACUCCGGGAUCUGUCUUGAUCUCUAUAUUCCUAAAAUGAUGCUGCAUCUCUCCAAAUCUGAACCUGGAGAGCAUAAAAUCUAUUUUUUCCCCCAUAAAAUAGAGGCAAUUGCUUUAUUGUGGGUGGCCUGUGAUGGCAUUCAUCUUCAAAGAUAAAAGAUCACCAUAAUACAUCUUCUAAUAUUAAUACAGGCUUAUUUGGCAACAUACCACUUAGAGCAUUGGUCUAGGAAAAUAGCACAGAUUAUCAUGAAGCCAUGUUAUAAGGAUAGCCUGAAAUUUUAUUGCAAGCCUGAGAGGAUAAUUUCCUAUUUAGGCUUGAUGUAUAAUAAUGGCAAAAAUCUGAUGUGAAGUUGUUCUCCACUUGGGAUGACAAAGGCAGGGCAACAGUCAGGAAGUGGAACAACCUAUUUGCUGCAAAUCCAUUUACACUUCCCAUACGCUGACAAAAUAGGUGUAGUCCUCUGUGCCUGGUGGCUCACGCUUGUACCUGCCUGGUUUCGCAUGGGGAGUUGGCUGUUUGAGGUGUUAAAAUGGUGAAGGUAGGCCUUGGGAGUUUUAGCUGAUGAAAGAAGUUUGAUUUUGACCUAGGGAUAAGGAAAAAAGAACCAAAAAUUCUGUUUUGAGCACAAGUUUUCAUCCUAAAAGCACAGUAGAAUUUUCCAGCUGAAAUUAAACUAUAUGCUAUUGUUUAAAUGUUUAAUUUUUUAUUGAAUUGUGAAAAUAAUGAACUUCUCUGAAACAAAAUAGAGAUGAAAAUAAGGCGGGAUUAAAUUAUUUUAAUAACAUCUCACAGAAAUUAUAAGAUCCUGAUGUAAUGUGUUUGCAAUAGUCUUAAGGAUUCACCCACUGCAGCUAAGGAGAAUGCCCUAACCUUGAUGCUGAACAUCUGCAGCUUUGCUCGUGUUUAAUCAAGAGCACCAGAUGAGACAGAGAAAUGAGUGAUUUCAAACAAGUCGGAGAUGCUCAGAGGAAGCUUUUAAACUGACUCAGCAGAAACACCUUCUGAGGGGCAGCAAGAAGACCUUUGUGGUAUUUAAUACAUUUUUAUCAGCUUCCCUGAGCUGACAGUUUAGAAAGCUACAGCUGUGAGGAGACAGGCCAGCUUUAUUUGUAACAGCUGUUCUGAAAGCCUUGAAUACGGGGAGAGAAGGAGCCUUCCCCUCACUGUUAGAAACACGCAGCGGUGACUUGGUUGUUCAGAACAGACUGUUCUCAUAAAGCUGUCCUCCUCAUCCUCCCUGCUCUGAAGCUGGGGGAAUGUUGAGUCACUGCCCAAUGGGUUUUGCACUGGUCCAAGGCGACCCAGAGCGGCUCUCCUUUACACAGCCUGUUCCAGAGCUCUGUGCCAGUUGUUUCUGAGGGAUGUUGAGAUGUGGCUGAGAUGGAAGCUCAGGUCUGUGUUAUAGGCAUUUGCAGGUGAUGUGCUGCAGAGUGAGGGUGUGUCCCUGAGCUGCAACUCCACCCUCUUUGUCUGCUGCAUUGAAGCUCAUUUUCAGGUGGAGGUGAUCUUCCAGCCUUAUUUGCAGGUUCAAAGAGGCACCAAACUGCAGGGUUUAUCAAUAGGCAAGAGGUGAAUUCAUAACAUUUUUGUGUUUUCCAGCACAUUCACACAGUGUUCCCAUUUUCUCCCAUCUGAAGCCAUGGUGUACUAGAGGCUUCUCAUGGAUGCCUGUGAAGCUGAGGACCUGCUAAGCUUGCAUAGCUUAUUGGUGGUGUAGCUCAGUCUGUGAGGUUAAACCCCAGGCCAGGGUUGAAGAGUGAGCUGCAGCCCAUGACCAAGCUGGAAGCCAUACGCCAUCAUGAAGAAAACAAUGGACACAACUCCUUCUUCACAGCAAUUUUUACCUCUCAUAUACCCACGGGUUUUAUGUUGGGGUUACUGCUUUCUGUGCUUGGUGGGGCGGCAGGGACUGCUCCAGUGGGAAGGCUACCAGAGCUGGGGCAUAGCACUGACUGCGGGGAGUUAGGCCAAACACUUAUGGGGAUGGGGCCCGUAGGCCCAUGGGCUACAAAGACAAAUUUUCUGGGCAACUGUGAGUCUCAGUGUUACCAUCUGCAACUCUCAGUAUCUAAAUCCUCAUAUUAGCCAUUAACACUAUUCUGUGUCCAAGUACAAGACAUUUAUUCUCCUAACACUGUCAGUAGCUAAAUAUGUUAGCGGUGUGAGGCACUCCCAUGUCAUUACAGUAGGAACCAAGGGUAGAAUUAGAAAGCUUCAGAUCAGUUGUGUCUCUCGAAAUAUGACUUUGGCUUCAUGAAGGGCUCACCCGUAUGCCAACCACCUGACUCCCCAAACUAGCUGCACCGCUUCUGCUCUGACUGCUGGGAAGAUGUCCCUUUUGUCAAAAUGUUAAGACUGAGGAGCUCUGCUUGUGAGGAAGCUGGAGGCCCAAAUGCUCAGUGGUUUCCAGUUUUCGCAGUGAAGUGGGGGAUGAAGUUGCGUUCAUGUUGUCAGAUAGGAGAGAUUUGUGCCCGAGUGUAAUGUAGUUUCAGCAACAAAUAUUUCUACUGUUCAGUCUAAUUCUUCUGUAGCUCUGUAGUCUCAGCAGCUUAUAAAGAAUGGGAACUGAAGUGUAGUGUUAGUCAGUGCUGGGACUUCAUUCCUUGUUCUCGAUCCUCUCAUUCUCACACACAAGCAGCCCCUUUAAGACACCGAUCUACAAAUGACGUGAGUCUGCAACAAGCUCCAAGAGCAGCAGCCGGGACUGUAUUUCAAUCACCAGCAUCUCAUUUUUAGGCUUAUUUAUCACACUUCUGAUCAAAGCACCACUGCCAAGUUAGCACUUAGGGGAGGGCACUUGGAUGUGGUGGUGGUGGCACCACCUAAGCUCCAACUCACAUUACACUCAUUCGAGCACGGUGUUUAUCCCAAGAGCUAUUUCCUAUUUUAUUUUUUAGUUUAUUUUUGAGAAAACUGAUGGCGUUUUAAACUUUGUUAGUGCUUUUCUUUUUUAGCUAUUGAGAGUUGAUAGGACAAGGGGGAAUGGUUUUAAACUGAGACAUGGAAGAUUUAGGUUAGAUAUUAGGAGGAAGUUUUUCACACAGAGGUUGGUGACACACUGAAACAGGUUGCCCAAGGAGGUUGUGGAUGCCCCAUCCCUGGAGGCAUUCAAGGCCAGGCUGGAUGUGGCUCUGGGCAGCCUGGUCUGGUUGUUGGCGACCCUGCACAGAGCAGGGGGUUGAAAAUGGAUGAUCAUUGUGGUCGUUUUAAACCCAGGCCAUUCUGUGAUUCUAUGAUUCUAUGAUGAUAUGAAUUCCUCUGCAAUGAGCAGGGACACCUACAGCUCCAUCAGUGCUCAGAGCCCCAUUCAGCCUGACCCUAAAUGUCUCCAGGGAUGAGGCAUCCACCACAUCUCUGGGCAACCUUUGUCAUUUUGCAUUUGAUAAAAUCACUUCUUAGCAAAGGGACAAAAGGAGGCCCUUAAAUGUCUCCCACAAAGUGGAACCCUUCAAAGUGGUCCUAAAUGGUCCUAGGAAGGCUCAAGCCUCUGAUGGAAAUGGCAGGAAACAUCACCCUACAUCUGUCUCUGCCAUGAGAACAAAUUGCAGCCACUGCCCAGCCAAAUUGUCAGAGCUAGUUGUUGCACAUAGCGCAGACCCAGGGAAAUUUGCAGUUCCAACAGCAGAUGGCACAAUCCUAACAGUUAAAUCAGCCUGUAGUGCAGCCGUGGGGAAAUACUUCCCAGGAUACAAAUCUGAAAGCUCCUGGAAAAGUCCUACAGAGUGAGUCUGCUGGUUUGUCAACGUAAGCGGUCUGUUUUUGGAAAUAGUGCAUUUCCUCUUCAGGGGAAAUUAUUUAUAAAAGAAAAGGCAUUUCUGAGACCGCUUGGUAGCAGUGGAGUUUAUUUCAAGACUCUCAGGGCUCAUCAAAGCUGUGAGUGUGUCAACAUCACUCCACCUACUUGGAGGUGCUCUGGAAUAACUGAUUCACAGGCAUUUUGCUUGCUUGGCACUCAGCCUUGUGCAGCCAGUGCUGUCUUGAGCCUUUUCAAGUAAUUCAGGCAAAAAAUGGAGUUUGCUGACAAAAGGGGGUUUGCCUAGAGCAUCUCUACUAGGAAGACAUCCAAUCUUGAUCUGAAAACAUCAAGAGACAGAGAAUCCAACGCUUCUUUUGAGAUUUUAUGCUCAUUAAAAUCUGAGAACUAUGGCAAGGAUUUCAGCUUGAUAGGCAGAAAGUAUCUCAUUCGUCCCAAAGGAGUGGGGGGGGGACACCCCGCAGCUCUCAGGAAGAGGGACGGCUUACCUGGACGUGGGCUCUUGGUGAGGGCUCAGCACAACGUGAGGAUGCCCGUGGGAACCUGUACCUCUGCAGUAUGCAUUUUGCCGUGGUUUAUUUGUGCUGUCCCCGUAACACACCCAUUGCUGUGGGAUGUGGAUGCCUUUCGGUGAUGUACUAAACUAAUAAACUACCUGUCAUGCGUGUUUCUGACUCAGUUUUGCAGUCGAAAAGGAAAAGUCAUCCCUCCCUGAUGGCACAUUGCCGUGUGGCCACUCUACACUCACUAUAAGUUUAAAACAAC
ensembl:lncRNA